AAAUACCUCUCAUUAUCGGAGGAACCCACUGAGCAUGUCCAUCUUCAUCAGUGUGCUAUGGUGAGACCAGGGCAUCUGAGGAUGGUCUGAAAUGAGGAAGACUCAGGCCAACUCUGAUUCUCUAUACAGGCUGACCCCUAUGGCCUACUAAGAAUGAAUAAUUAAAACUCUAGGAAUCCCAGGGUUUGUUGGAGUUCAGGGUUGUCGCUGAGUGGUGGAAAUAUUGUUCUCAACCAAAAAAAAAAAAAAAAAUGUGGGGAUUACAUGCCAGUACCAUCCACCCCUGCAUUAGAAGUUUUCAUCGAAGAGCUUCAUUUCACAAGCUUUCAGCGUUGAUCUCACCUCCUCGAAGAUGACACAUCUGAUCCCUCUGUCUAAAAUAACAUCUUUAACAUUAAGAAAUCUCAAGUUUUCCAUUUGAGAAAUCUUCUGGAUUCUGCAUUCCAGUGGUUCCACUGAAGCCAGUAGGGCUGAAUACCCCAUGUAGGAACAGACUCAGCACAAGAAUGUAGGUUCUACAUUCUUAUCAUUUCAUUCCCCAUGCCCUAACCAAUCAGUGAUCCCAAUUCCUCAGCCCACUAUUCUCCAAAAUUUCCUUAAAUAUGCCCAUCCAAAACCCCUCAGGGAAGCAGAUUUGAGGUUCCCUUCAGUUCCCUUCUUUGGUUGCCCUAUGAUUAUUAAACUAUUUCUCUACUGCAACUCUUGCUGUUUCAG
rnacentral:lncRNA from 1 species